rnacentral:rRNA from 1 species
AUACGUAGGUGGCAAGCGUUAUCCGGAAUUAUUGGGCGUAAAGCGUGCGUAGGCGGUUUAUUAAGUCUGAUGUUAAAUCCCACAGCUCAACUGUGGGCUGCCAUUGGAAACUGGUAGACUUGAGUGCGGUAGAGGUAAGUGGAAUUCCAAGUGGAGCGGUGGAAUGCGUAGAUAUUUGGAGGAACACCAGUGGCGAAGGCGGCUUACUGGGCCGUUACUGACGCUGAGGCACGAAAGCGUGGGGAGCAAACAGGAUUAGAUACCCUAGUAGUCCACGCUGUAAACGAUGACAACUAAAUAUUGCCGCGAGGCAGUGUUGAAGCUAACGCAUUAAGUUGUCCGCCUGGGGAGUACGGUCGCAAGACUGAAACUUAAAGGAAUUGACGGGG